AUGAAUCGGGCACUGGCGGACUGCAAAACACGGCAGAACAUCCAGAAGCUGGUAAAGGGUGGUUUCAUCAUCAGGAAGCCUCAGAAGAUCCACUCCAGGUGUCGUGCAAGGAGGGCACAUGAGGCCAAGCAGAAGGGCCGUCACUCUGGAUAUGGUAAGCGUAGUGGCACCAGGGAGGCUAGGCUCCGCACCAAGAUCCUAUGGAUGCGGAGGAUGUGCGUCUUGAGGCGUCUUCUGCGCAAGUACCGUGAGGCGAAGAAGAUCGACAAGCACAUGUUUCAUGACAUGUACCUGAAGGUCAAGGUAACAUGUUCAAGAACAAGAGGGUCCUCAUGAAGAGUAUCCACAAGUCCAAGGCUGAGAAGGCAAGAGAGAAGACCCUCUCUGACCAGUUUGAGGCCAAGCGUGCCAAGAGCAAGGCAAGCAGGGAGAGGAAGAUUGCGAGGAGGGAGGAGAGAUUUGCUCAGGUGCGGGUGUUGCCGGUUGAUGGUGGCCUAAGCAUUUGAGUCUAACUGAAAGUGAACCGGAGCGAUGUGCAGAAAAAAAAAUUAGCACAGAGACUGAAUUUGUAUACUACUUAGAAUUUAUUAGAUCAGGUUAUAUUUCCUUGGUAGCAUGGCAGCAGCACCCAAUCAGACCACAACCGCGGCAGGCGUGCUCUGCGAUCUUGUCCACCGUCUCCAAGGCAGGUACGACCUACCCCGCCACUGAGAGCUGCCCCUCCUCAUCACCAUCAACGCCGGAAGUUGGGCGCCAAGGUGGAGUCCCUGCAGAAGUUGUUCACCCGGAAGGUCGUCUUCUCCAAGGCGUCUCUAGCCUUCGAACAGGACCGCUCCAUCAAGAUUACUUAGCUUCGUUCAACUGCCAUUUUGACAUGGACUGCAAGUGGUGCUAGGGUUUGGUUGCUGGAUGGAAAAACACCAAGAACAUACGUCAUUACUCCAGCCACAUGGAAGCAAGCAUGCAUGGCACCGUCCGCGUGGCCUGAUUAGCGAUUAACCACACGUAUGGUCUACACGUAUAUACUUGUCAAUCAUACAUAUAUAUGUGUACCCACAUAUUCUUGAUUAGUUGGUUUGGUUGAUAUAUAAAUACAUUCUUAAUUGGUCUACCAGUUCUUGUGAUGUUACGAUUGAAAAGAAAUUAUUGGGG
rnacentral:rRNA from 1 species